rnacentral:tRNA from 1 species
CGUCGCCGUGGUGCGGGUGACGCAGGCGGCGCUCCCGCUGCUGCGGGCGUCCGACGCCCCGGUGAUCGUCAACGUGGCGUCGG